rnacentral:rRNA from 1 species
UCAAGCGAUAGGUAAGGGCAUCUGGUGAAUGCCUUGGCAAUCAGAGGCGAAGAAGGACGUGAUACACUGCGAAAAGCCGUGGGGAGCUGUGAAUAGGCAUUGAUCCGCGGAUCUCCGAAUGGGGAAACCCACAGAGUAAUCUGUAUCAAUAUCUGAAUCUAUAGGGUAUUGAAGCGAACGCAGGGAACUGAAACAUCUAAGUACCUGUAGGAAAGGAAAUCAACCGAGACUCCGAGAGUAGUGGCGAGCGAAAUCGGACCAGCCAAUUUGCGAUUAGAUAAGAACCGGAAGUGUCUGGGAAGGCACAUCAUAGAGGGUGAUAGUCCCGUACGGGUAGAAAGUUUAAUUGUAAGAGAGUAGGGCGGAGCACGAGAAAUUCUGUCUGAAGAUAGGUCGACCACGAUCUAAGGCUAAGUACUACUGAUUGACCGAUAGUGAACCAGUACCGUGAGGGAAAGGUGAAAAGCACCCCGACAAGGGGAGUGAAAGAGAACCUGAAACCGGAUGCCUACAAGCAGUCGGAGGGGCAUUAAGCCCUGACGGCGUACCUUUUGUAUAAUGGGUCAGCGAGUUAGUUUAUGUAGCAAGCAUAAGCCGAUAGGUGGAUGCGUAGCGAAAGCGAGUGUUAAUAGCGCGUUAAGUUACAUGAAUUAGACCCGAAACCGAGUGAUCUAGCCAUGAACAGGUUGAAGGUUGGGUAACACCAACUGGAGGACCGAACCCACUCCCGUUGAAAAGGUAGGGGAUGAUUUGUGGCUAGGGGUGAAAGGCCAAUCAAACUCGGAAAUAGCUGGUUCUCCGCGAAAACUAUUUAGGUAGUGCGGUAGGCGAACACCAUGAGGGGUAGAGCACUGAAAGAGCUAAGGGGGAGCGAUCCUUACUAAACUUUAUCAAACUCCGAAUACUCAUGAGUGAUACUUACCAGACAGACAGUAGGUGCUAAGGUCUAUUGUCGAGAGGGAAAGAGCCCAGACCGUCAACUAAGGUCCCUAAAUUAUGGCUAAGUGGUAAAGGAAGUGGGAUAUCCAAAACAGUCAGGAGGUUGGCUUAGAAGCAGCCAUCCUUUAAAGAAAGCGUAAUAGCUCACUGAUCUAAAUAAGACGUCCUGCGCCGAAGAUGUAACGGGGCUAAAGCCAUAUACCGAAGUUACGGGAUUGUAUUGCAAUAGAUACAAUCGGUAGCGGAGCGUUCUGUAGGCCUGCGAAGGUAAACCGUAAGGUUUGCUGGAGGUAUCAGAAGUGAGAAUGCUGACAUGAGUAGCGAAAAGAAGAGUGAGAGACUCUUCCGCUGAAAGUCCAAGGUUUCCUGCGUAAAGCUAAUCUGCGCAGGGUUAGUCGGCCCCUAAGGCGAGGCAGAGAUGCGUAGCUGAUGGGAACACGGUUAAUAUUCCGUGACCAGUUAGGAAGUGACGGAUACAGUAGUUUGUACAUGCUUAAUGGAUUGUGUGUGCAAGUGAUGUGUCCCGGGAAAUAGCCCUAACGAAGACCGUACCCGAAACCGACACAGGUGGACAGGUAGAGUAUACCAAAGCGCUUGAGAGAACUAUGUUGAAGGAACUAGGCAAAAUGCUUGUGUAACUUCGGGAUAAGCAAGCCCGGUUUUAAGGCAACUUAAGGCCGGGGGCACAUACUAGGGGGUAGCGACUGUUUAACAAAAACACAGGACUCUGCGAAAUUGAAAGAUGAAGUAUAGGGUCUGACGCCUGCCCGGUGCCGGAAGGUUAAGGAGAGAUGUGAGAGCAUUGAACUGAAGCCCCGGUAAACGGCGGCCGUAACUAUAACGGUCCUAAGGGAGCGAAAUUCCUUGUCGGGUAAGUUCCGACCUGCACGAAUGGCGUAACGACUUCCCCGCUGUCUCCAACAUAGGCUCAGCGAAAUUGAAUUCUGAGUUAAGAUGCUCAGUACCCGCGGUUAGACGGAAAGACCCCGUGAACCUUUACUAUAGCUUUGCAGUGGUAUUAGGUAAGACAUGUGUAGGAUAGGUGGGAUGCUAUGAAGGUAGGACGCUAGUUUUACUGGAGCAGACGUUGAAAUACCACCCUUGUGUUAUUUGAUAUCUAACCUACUUCCGUAAACCGGAAGAGGGACCCUGCAUGGUGGGUAGUUUGACUG